ACUUGAAAAAGUAGUCAUUAGGCCAACUGCCACAAUGUUUCAUGUACAGCUACAAUAUUUGGUGGGCAUAUGCAGAACAUCUGGACACACCAAAAAGUCAAUUACAGCCACGCCCUAAACCCAACAGGAAGUCGGCCAUCUUCAAUUUGCUGAAAUUUUUCAAACUUAAUCGCUCCUCGGGAAAUGACUUGCCUUUUUGGCGGCCUUAUCAUGAACCAAAACGCGUGAAAUUUGGCGUGCACAUCAGGACUGGCGAAAAAUUUGAUAUUUUAUGGGAGUUGCGCAUAUGUGUGGAAAAAUGGCUCUAUAGCGCCACCUGCAAAAUUGAAAAAGUGGUCAUUAGGCCAACUUCCACAAUGUUUUAUUUACAGCUACAAUAUUUGGUGGGCAUAUGCACCACAUCAGGACACACCAAAAAGUCAAUCACAGCCACACCCUAAACCCAACAGGAAGUCGGCCAUCUUGAAUUUGCUGUACAUUUGUCAAAAUUUAUAGCUCCUAGUGGAUAAGUCUGAGAGAACUGAAAUUUGGCCAGUACAUUCACCAGACCUUUCUGAUGAAAAGUUAUCAAAAACUCAACCAGAAGCCAAAAGGUGUGGCCAUGGCGGAGCCUCAAACAACUGAUCCUUCGCCAUGAAACAGGAAGUGGUGUCUAAUUCUUCUCAACAUGCUCUAAUCUGCCUGAAACUUUACAUGUAUGAUGACAGUCCUGUCCUGAUGUCAUCCACAUAGGGAUAUUCAUUGACAGUCAUAGCGCCACCUUGUGGUUUCAGGAAAUAGACAUCUUUUACACUUUCAUGCCCUAUUGUUACCCGGUUGAUCAUAUUCACUUCAAAUGCAGUGACAACAGCCUAAACACAUUGAUGAUGCAUCCCAGUGAAAAUGGUGACUUGUCAUCAAAGGGCGUGUCUGUGGCGGCCAAACCAAUUUCGAUGUUUCGCCAUGAAAAUUUAACGAUUCAUAUCUCAGCUGAACAACAUCCUAUCUGCCUCAGACUUCACAUGCUGGAUACCAGGUCCAGUCUGAACACAUCCACACUCAUAAAUUCUGAAAAAGUCAUAGCGCCACCUGUUGGUAAUAGUAAGUUUAAGGCCUUAUAUUUUCAGGUACAAUGGCCCCAAACUUGGUGAUAUCAUGCUGGAAAUUGGUCAGUCGAGUCUUCACCUCUUGACAAUCACACACUGUGAAGGGUGUGACAUUUCAUGCAACGCUGUUGCCGUAGCAACCAAAUAUCGCCAUGAAAAACAAAGCCCUUUC